GUAGAGGCUGUAUGGCUGAUGACAUUUUGAGGGCAGAGGCCAAGAAAGUUAAAUGUCCUCAAUAGAGGGGCGUCUGGGUGGCUCAGUCGAUUAAACGUUCGACUUUGGUUCAGGAGAUCGGAAGACCA